rfam:Hordeum vulgare subsp. vulgare, WGS project CAJW01000000 data, contig: morex_contig_74927
UAAAUACUCCCUCCGUUCGAAAUUAUUUGUCUCGGAAAUGAAUAUAAAUGGAUGUAUCUAGAACUAAAAUACGCCUAAAUACAUACAUCUCUCCGAUAAAUAUUUCCGAACAGAGAGAGUAUAAG